CCACAGUUCCCCUCUCCUUCAUGUGCGGGCAUGUUCAAAGCCAGACAAGUGACCACAGGGCCACAGCUGAAACUCAUUAAAGUGUAACAUGGUGAAUGAAUGAUGAUGACAGGCUGUGCCUGAUCUGUCAUGAGGACAUGCAGAAGAGUGGAGGGGCAGUUCAAGAGCUUCACUGUACACACCGCUUCCACAAAGAGGAUUCUUCACUCAUUCACUCCAAUCGCAGCAUGUCAGAUAGGCUAUCAGAUCCUUGGUGCAUGAAAGCAGCUAAUUCCAGGAUAUGCAUGAUGUGCAAGGCGCUUCGGAGGUCGGAGCAGUGUCGGCCCCGCAGUGGCAGUGAAGCAGCGGCUUGUCAGGUGAGGAGGAUCUCGGAUUAGAGGAGGAAGUCGGCGGACGGGCCAAUCUCCACGGAGAAGGAGCAUCACACAUUCCGUCGACAACUUUCCCUGCGGAGACAUCGCUGAUAUCAUUCAAUGGGAAGAGGUGACUCAUAGGUGGAAAAAUUGAGGAUUUGCACCCAUGGGCCAGACAUCAGGAUACUCUCCUGAACAUUUACUGCAUUUAUGGUGUGAUGUUCAAGUGAUUUAAUCUCAGGGCCGUGACUGUGCCUGACCUGAACCUGUAAAACGGCCCCCUGUGGACCCCAUUGCUAUGUCAGCUUUGGAGUCUUCAUAACUCUUUAUUUAGGAAGAUCCAUAAAUUGUAAUUCACAAUUGUUAAAGCAUUUUAAAAGUUAGAAUAAAAUUAAACUUUUUUUGAUGAAUAUGUGACUCUACAUAUUAGCUCUACCACUUUUAUAAAUGAGAUGUAUAAAACAUUUGCUUCAUAGUAGUACAUAAAAAGGAGAAUUUUUUUAUUUUGGUUUCUGAGAUUUCUCUUUACUUUUGAAAAAUAAAUAUCUUGAAACAGAUUUUUUAUGACUUAAACCAUUUUUUACACUCCUUUGUCUGAAAAUAACAAAGUUAAAGUUACACACUAACUUCAGAGUGUCAAUGGUACUGUAUAUUGAGUAUUUGCAUAUUGUGCAUACUUAUUGUGGUCAGUUUGUAUGUAUUGUGUACUCAGUCCAUGUUGAUGACAGGAUUAAAUCUUGUGACAUGGACAGAAAUAGUAAUACUUGCGGCUUCUGGAUGACUUUGCUAAUCUGAAAGUGAGUGAGUGCACCUAUCUGCCCGUGUUAAUAAUCUUUUAUGCCCGUGUUAAUAAUCUUUUAUGCCCGUGUUAAUAAUCUUUACUCUGUGAAUCCCUCUCCUGAAACUGUCGUGUCUCAUUUUCCAUCCGCGCCAUCCUCCUGCCUUAUCUAUGCUGUUGUUGAUGUGACAUAUUUCACGUGUGAGGUCUAAUUGAAUGUCUUCCCUGCUGGUGUGUAUCUUGCACUGCCAAAUGAGACUUUACAGCAUGUGCUAAAAGUCAGACUGUCUGCAUAUUUAUCCAUAAAAAUAAGUGAUAUGAAUGUGAUUUUAUUUCUAGGGACUGACAAAUACUUGUCUUUCCAUGUAUCGGAUGUACAUCACUACAUUAUUAUUAUUUCAUGUGAUAUUAAUUCAUAACUCCUGGUAAUCUGGUGUGGUCUUGCUUGGAUUUAUGUUCAACCAACAUUUAUCUGUGUGCACUCUGCAGCACAGAUGAUUAGAAUAGGCCUAAUUAUAACUGUGAGACUUCCAAGUUAUUUUUAUCUCUUUAAAGGGGAAAAGACAUUGUAACCAAGUUAUAUUUACUGUCCUCUCUGAGAGUUGAAAAUUUGUUUUCUGGGUUUUCUUUCAUACAGGACAUAUGAAACAUUGGUUGAUGUCUUACAUCUUAAAGGAUUUUUCCAAAAAUAAAGAAAAGCUUUGUAAAGCCA